UCCCUCCAUUUUCUUUCAACAAGCUAUUUUCUAAAUCUUUUCAGCUUCAGAUUAUGCGAGCAGAACCUUCUCCUGUCAUUAAGUUUGGCGACAAACAUCCGAUUGAUGGUAGUACUAUCUAAUGACAACACAUUCUGUCUUUUGAACAUAGAUGGAUCGUUAGUGCAUCUCAAAACCUUGCAUGCACUUUGUUUAUUUUCAUGAAGUGAACCUAAUAAUGAAUGAUUGAUUGUGCAUGUGUAUCUUGUUUAACGUCCCUCUCGAGAAUUUUUCACCCAUAUGGAGACGUCACCAAGACCGGUGAAGGACUUCAAAGAACAUGACCCACGAACCAUGAAAAAUGGCCUAGCCUGGGAUAUUGAUAAUUUCCGUAUAUAAUAAUCUUCUGGAUAUAGGCUUUCUAGAAAUGUUUUUCUUUUUUUCAUAUAUUCUAUACUUUUUUGUUAAUAUGACGUUGAAUAUUGUGGUAUUUAAUGUUAAAAAAUUAACAUUUCGGGAUACACGUCACAACAAUAAACCUGCAAUGACCAUGUACAAUGUACAUGAACCUAUAAAUCUCUGAAUAUAUCAAGUUAUAUGCACUCAAAUAGCUAGAAUGGCUAAUUCAAUGAUCAUAAUAAGCAUUUUUGACCAAAUAUGGGAAAUAGAAAUAAGAAAUAUUUUGGAAAUGAUGUUCAAAGCCGUGAUUGUUCAACUUUACUUUUAAAUUAUUUUUACUUGAAUUUUGAAAUACUGAAAUAAGAAUAAAUAUAGUAUGUAGUCUAUUUACAUGGUGAAAGAAGUGAAUCAUUGGAACAAUUCUGUUUCAUAUCAUAUUCCAUGGUUUUUGGAUUUUGUUUUGUUUUUUUGGUUGUUUUUUGUUUUGUUUUUUUGUAUUAAAACGACCGAGUAUCGAUAUCAAUGGUAACGAAAUAAGUUGACACCGCGUCUCGUCAAAACAUGUUCAAUUCGAAUUUACUCGGAAUUACACGGUCAACGAGCAUUUGCUGUGAAACCUGAUUAAAGGAAAAUUACUGUAGACACCUAAUAGUGAUUUGUACAGAAGCGAAUGAUGGCCUCUUUUGAAAUUAAGAUUUCAUGCCUUACUCCUACUGGGACUACAACUAACUUUGGACCUGGUCACUCGCAGAUACAGCAUGAAGUGUGCCCUCUUGAUGUACAUGGGGAUGGGAGUGAUACAGAAGGGGGACUAAUUGGAAGAACUGCUACUGCUGGUGGUGGUGCUGGACUGUCUUGAAUCUGUUGCCUAACCGACUUGAUAUUCUUCUGUUUAAUAUGGGAGCAACACACACACUCUGGCAUAUAUUGCACAGAAAAUCAUGAUCAGAUGGUGCCCUCCCUAUCAGAGUGGUGAUCACUGUCCUAUAUUUCUUUGAAAUCCUGGAUCUGUGUUUUGGUUUUACUCUCCAUGGACAGUUGAAACAGAGAAAGAAUUAGGGACCACUCCUUGGCAUAUCUGAAAUAUUUAUGUCAUAUACAUGUAAUUAAAAUAUACAAUUUGGGUUGGAUGAAAAUCUUAUCUUCAUGUUAAAACCCAUUAGCCUAGGUUAUUUUUCCUAAAAUCUAAUUAUAAAUCAAUUAACUUGUUAAUUAAUGCUUGGUGAAUCAAUUAAUAAAUUGUAUUCAAAAACUUGAAAUUAUUUUUUUUCCACUAAUAAACUGAAAAUGUGUAUCUUCAAA